rnacentral:rRNA from 1 species
UAACGCGUAAUCAACCUGCCCUUCAGAGGGGGACAACAGUUGGAAACGACUGCUAAUACCGCAUACGAUCCAAUCUCGGCAUCGAGACUGGAUGAAAGGUGGCCUCUAUUUAUAAGCUAUCACUGAAGGAGGGGAUUGCGUCUGAUUAGCUAGUUGGAGGGGUAACGGCCCACCAAGGCGAUGAUCAGUAGCCGGUCUGAGAGGGUGAACGGCCACAUUGGGACUGAGACACGGCCCAGACUCCUACGGGAGGCAGCAGUGGGGAAUCUUCCGCAAUGGACGAAAGUCUGACGGAGCAACGCCGCGUGAGUGAUGACGGCCUUCGGGUUGUAAAGCUCUGUUAAUCGGGACGAAUGGUUCUUGUGCGAAUAGUGCGAGGAUUUGACGGUACCGGAAUAGAAAGCCACGGCUAACUACGUGCCAGCAGCCGCGGUAAUACGUAGGUGGCAAGCGUUGUCCGGAAUUAUUGGGCGUAAAGCGCGCGCAGGCGGAUUGGUCAGUCUGUCUUAAAAGUUCGGGGCUUAACCCCGUGAUGGGAUGGAAACUGCCAAUCUAGAGUAUCGGAGAGGAAAGUGGAAUUCCUAGUGUAGCGGUGAAAUGCGUAGAUAUUAGGAAGAACACCAGUGGCGAAGGCGACUUUCUGGACGAAAACUGACGCUGAGGCGCGAAAGCCAGGGGUGCGAACGGGAUUAGAUACCCCGGU